rnacentral:rRNA from 1 species
UACAGAGGGUGCGAGCGUUAAUCGGAAUUACUGGGCGUAAAGCGUGCGUAGACGGCUAUCUAAGUCGGGUGUGAAAGCCCGGGGCUCAACCCCGGGUCGGCCGUGCGAACUGUUUUGCUUGAGCACUGUAGAGGCAGGCGGAAUUCCGGGUGUAGCGGUGGAAUGCGUAGAGAUCCGGAAGAACACCGGUGGCGAAGGCGGCCUGCUGGGCAGUAGCUGACACUGAGGCGCGACAGCGUGGGGAGCAAACAGG